rnacentral:lncRNA from 1 species
GGUUGGGUUGGGUUGGGUUGGGUUGGAAGGGUCUUUAAAGAUCACAGAACCAUAGCAUGGUAGGGUUGAAAGUGUCCUUCAAGAUCAUAGAGCUAUGGCAUGGUUGCAGUGGCAGAGUCCUGAAUGGUCACAGAAGCAUGGAAUGGUUGGGUUGGGUUGGGUUGGGUUGGAAGGGUCCUUAAAGAUCACAAAACCCCAAAAUGGGUUCCAUAGAAAAGAUGCUUAAUGGUCACAAAUCCACAGCAUGGAUUAGGUUGGAAGGGUCCUUAAAGAUCAGAGAACCCCAGAAUGGGUUAGGUUGGGAGGGUCCUUAAAGACCACAGAACCACGGCAUCGUUGGGUUGGAAGGGUCCUGAAAGAUCACAGAGCUAUGGAAGGGUUGCAGUGGGAGGGACCUGAAUGGUCACAGAAGCAUGGAGUGGUUGGGUUGGGUUGGGUUGGAAGGGUCCUUAAAGAUCACAGAACCACAGAAUGGAUUGGGUUGGAAGGGUCCUUAAAGAUCUCAGAACCACAGAAUGAAUUGUGUUGGAAGGGUCCUUAAAGAUCUUAGAACCACAGAAUGGGUUGGGUUGGAAGGGUCCUUACAGUUCACUGAACCAUAGCAUGGUAGGGUUGGAAGGGUCUUUCAAGAUCAUAGAGCUGUGGAAGGGUUGCAGUGGCAGGGACCUGAAUGGUCACAGAAGCAUGGAAUGGUUGGGUUGGGUUGGGUUGGGUUGGAAGGGUCUUUAAAGAUCACAGAACCACAGAAUGGAUUGGGUUGGAAGGGUCCUUAAAGAUCACAGAACCAUAGCAUGGUAGGGUUGAAAGGGUCCUUCAAGAUCAUAGAGCUAUGGCAUGGUUGCAGUGGCAGGGUCUUGAACGGUCACAGAAGCAUGGAAUGGUUGGGUUGGGUUGGGUUGGGUUGGGUUGGGUUGGAAGGGUCCUUAAAGAUCUUAGAGCUAUGGCAUGGUUGCAGUGGCAGGGUCUUGAAUGGUCACAGAAGCAUGAAAUGGUUGGGUUGGGUUGGGUUGGGUUGGGUUGGGUUGGGUUGGAAGGGUCCUUACAGAUCACAGAGCCGUGGAGUGGUUGGGUCGGGUUGGCUUGGCUUGGAAGGGCAUCGCCGCCCCUCUCCGUCCCCAACCGCAGCUCCCUGUGUGCCGCAGCAUGAACGUCGGCGUGGAGGACGCGACGUCGUCGGCCAGCGUCACGCUCCUGGUGCAGCCGCACACCACCAUCGCGGCGCUCAAGCAGCAGCCGGCAGACACACGGACAUCGGUGACAUCAGCCAGCACCUGGA